UACGGAGGGGGCUAGCGUUGUUCGGAAUUAUUGGGCGUAAAGAGCUCGUAGGCGGUUUGUCGCGUCGGCCGUGAAAACUUGGGGCUUAACUCCAAGCUUGCGGUCGAUACGGGCAGACUUGAGUUCGGCAGGGGAGACUGGAAUUCCUGGUGUAGCGGUGAAAUGCGCAGAUAUCAGGAGGAACACCGGUGGCGAAGGCGGGUCUCUGGGCCGAUACUGACGCUGAGGAGCGAAAGCGUGGGGGAGCGAACAGG
rnacentral:rRNA from 1 species